CUUCCACUUCAAAUAAUUGAUAUUGUUGCAUUUCCUCUCCGCCUCUGUUGCGGACUUGGCCCUUCCCUUUAUUGACUCAUCUGAUUUCUUAUCAACUUUGAGGAUCUGGAACUUGCCCUCCGGCUUAUCUGAGGCCCUGAUGGUUAUUUAAGGUAUUAUCAAUACAUUGUGUUUUCUUCGCUUACUUCUGAAUUCUACAUGCUUUAUUAUUGGAUUGGAAAGCUUUCCCGUUUCAUCUUGCAUACACGCUAUUGCAGUACUUUUCAUAUUUUGCAGAAUAGAUGUUAGGGGGUGAGUUUUUUGCUUGAGCAGCCUGUUGUUUCUAGUUUCAGCCCUGAAGAGGCGCACCAACAGCAGCAGCAUCCUAGCUAAAUAUGCUGUUGCAGAGCACUGGAUGGAUGCACCUGUUGUUCUCCUUGGACAUUACUGCCUUAUCUUUUCCCCUAAAGAUAUGUGUUGCCACCAUUUUUCAUCUCUGGACUGGUUUAACUCUUGUGUUAUCCACACUGCAGAUAUACUACGUGUGAGGAGAACAGUAUCCUAGCAUAGUAAUCUUGAAGGCAAUUUCGAACUGUGCAAAGUGCAAAUAAACCCUGCUCCUUAAAGCACUCUGCUCUCUCCUUGUUUGAGACUUUCCCUGGAGGUUUGUGAUGCCCUCUGUAUAUAUGCCUGCAGCUUCAUAUGCUGGUAUAGAUCUGUACUGAAGAUGGCUAACCCAGUGGCAGGGAGCGAAAUCUGGUAGGCGAAUUUCUUCCGCCACUCCCUCUCCAUUUGGAAGCAAUGGCGAAAUGGUUCUGAACUU